GUGCUGGAAGUCGAACCGGAAGUGGAAGUGGUCCGCGAAGGCUAUUUCGCCGCUGUUGUCAGGAGUAUUUUCACGUUUUAUUGCCAAGAGGUUCUUGGGUGUCUCUGGGGAGUCCCUGAGCCAGACCUUCCUCCAGACUGCAGCCUACCUCUUCAGAGCAGCUCUGCUGAGUUCACAGAUGACCAGUAAACUUCAGGCAUGCUAGAGAAAAAGGGUGGAGACCCAGUGUGGCCAUGCCAGCUAGUUGGACCUCACUCCAAAAAUCCUCAGCCCUGGCUCCAGAGGAUCAGGGCAGCUCCUAUGAGGGAUCAGUGUCCUUCAGGGAUGUGGCUAUCAAUUUCAGCAGAGAGGAAUGGCGGCACCUGGACCUUUCUCAGAGAAACCUGUACCGGGAUGUGAUGCUGGAGACCUACAGCCACCUGCUCUCAGUAGGGUAUCAAGUUCCUAAACCAGAGAUGGUCAUGUUGGAGCAAGGAAAGGAACCAUGGGCACUGCAGAGUGAGAGGCCACAUCAGAGCUGCCCAGGAAAGAAAUUAUGGGACCAUAAUCAACAUAGAAAAAUCAUUGGUUAUAAACCAGCCUUCUCUCAAGAUCAAAAAAUUUAUCCUAGGGAAAAAUCCUAUGGAUGUGCCGAAUUUGGAAAGAGCUUCACCUGGAACUCACAGUUCAAGGUACAUCUGAAAGUUCCCACAGGAGAAAAACUCUAUGUAUGUGUUGAAUGCGGGAGGGCUUUUGUACAGAAGCCAGAAUUCAGUACACAUCAGAAAACCCAUAUGAGAGAGAAGCCCUAUAAGUGCAAUGGAUGUGGAAAAUCCUUUUUUCAAGUAUCGUCUCUUUGCAGGCAUCAGAGAAUUCAUAACAGAGAAAAACUAUAUGAAUGUAGUGAAUGUGGGAAAGGCUUCCCUUAUAACUCAGAUCUCAGUAUACAUGAGAAAAUUCAUACUGGAGAGAGACACCAUGAAUGCACUGACUGUGGCAAAGCGUUCACACAAAAGUCCACACUCAAGAUGCAUCAGAAAAUCCACACAGGCGACAGAUCCUAUAUCUGUAUUGAAUGCGGAAAGGCCUUCAUCCAGAAAACACAAUUGAUUGCACACCGAAGAAUUCAUACUGGAGAAAAACCAUAUGAGUGCAGUAACUGUGGCAAAUCCUUCAUUUCCAAGACACAACUUCAGGUACAUCAACGUGUUCACACGAGAGUGAAGCCCUAUAUAGGUACCGAAUAUGGGAAGGUCUUCAGCAAUAAUUCCAACCUCAUUACACAUAAGAAAGUUCAAAGUAGACAGAAAUCUUGCAUAUGUACUGAGUGUGGGAAGGCCUUUACCUACAGGUCAGAGUUGAUUAUUCAUCAGAGAAUUCACACUGGAGAGAAACCGUAUGAAUGCAGUGACUGUGGUAAAGCCUUCACUCAGAAGUCAACACUCACAGUGCAUCAGAGAAUUCAUACAGGAGAAAAAUCAUAUGUAUGCAUGAAAUGUGGACUGGCCUUCAUCCGGAAGGCACACUUGGUUACACAUCAAAUAAUUCAUACUGGAGAGAAACCUUAUAAAUGUGGUCACUGUGGGAAAUUGUUUACUUCCAAGUCACAACUCCAUGUUCAUAAACGAAUUCACACAGGAGAAAAACCCUAUGUAUGCAAUAAAUGUGGGAAGGCAUUCACCAACCGGUCAAAUCUCAUUACACAUCAGAAAACUCAUACAGGAGAGAAAUCUUAUAUAUGUUCCAAAUGUGGAAAGGCCUUCACCCAGAGGUCAGACUUGAUUACACAUCAGAGAAUCCAUACUGGGGAGAAGCCUUAUGAAUGCAAUACUUGUGGAAAAGCCUUCACUCAGAAGUCAAAUCUUAAUAUACACCAGAAAAUUCAUACUGGAGAGAGACAGUAUGAAUGCCACGAAUGUGGGAAAGCCUUCAACCAGAAAUCAAUACUCAUUGUUCAUCAGAAAAUUCAUACAGGAGAGAAACCCUAUGUAUGCACCGAGUGUGGAAGAGCUUUCAUCCGCAAGUCAAACUUUAUUACUCAUCAAAGAAUUCAUACUGGAGAGAAACCAUAUGAAUGCAGUGACUGUGGGAAAUCCUUUACCUCCAAGUCUCAGCUCCUGGUGCAUCAGCCAAUUCACACAGGAGAGAAACUCUAUGUGUGUGCCGAGUGUGGGAAGGCCUUUAGUGGCAGGUCAAAUCUCAGUAAGCACCAGAAAACUCAUACCGGAGAGAAGCCCUACAUUUGUUCUGAAUGUGGGAAGACCUUUCGACAGAAGUCAGAGUUGAUUACACAUCAUAGAAUUCAUACUGGAGAGAAACCGUACGAGUGCAGUGACUGUGGGAAGUCUUUCACUAAAAAAUCACAGCUCCAAGUGCAUCAACGAAUUCACACCGGAGAGAAGCCUUAUAUGUGUGCUGAGUGUGGGAAGGCCUUCAGCAACAGGUCAAAUUUGAAUAAACAUCAGACAACACACACUGGAGACAAACCCUACAAGUGUGGCAUCUGUGGGAAAGGCUUCGUUCAGAAAUCAGUGUUCAGUGUCCAUCAGAGCAGCCACGCUUGAGAGAAACAGUGUGAGAAAACCCCACUGAGGGUUGGGUCUGAUUGUACACACUGUUGCAUGCAUGCAGCAGAAAAAUAUAUAUAUUAUUGUAAAUAGAAACAGCCACAUCAGAAUGUUACACAUGGCUGUUCUGGAGAGGGCCUCUGAGAAGGCACUGAAUGAGGCGAGGGACCCUUCCUGCAUUGUCACCAUCCCCAGCAAACCUUGGGGCAUUAUUCAUACUGACAAGGAACCGAGUCAGUUUGGUGAAUAGGAAAAGCCUUCUCAUGAAAACGACAAUAGAACACUGUUACCAAAUUCUUCAUAAGAAAGAUCAUAUUACGGGAAUGAUAAUCCUAUUUACUGUGGAUUAGGCGUAGUGCCAACAGUUUGAAUGUAUCUGAUGGCCCAUUACAUGCUGCUCAACAUCUUAGACCAAUGUCUGCUGACCCAUUACCUCCCUUCACCUCAUCCAGCACUGUGUCUGAAGCUUCACUAUUCUUCCUGCAAUUCUGGAUAUUUUGUGAUACACCAUGAUCCCCAACUUAGGACAAUGUCUGCUGACCCUCAGGAGGGUCCCUGGAGAUCACCUCUUCCUUCUUAACAUACCCUAGAACCAAGUCUGGUUCCCUUCAUUAUUCCCAUUUUACCUUACUCCUAAGUGUAUCACUCCUCAUGAAUUCCAGGAAAUAUGGAGGAAAACACAUUUCACUGUACAUGACUUUCAAUUAUUUAUCCUUUAUAUUUAUUGUAAUGUAAUAUUUUAGUACUGACAUAUAUGUGUUUGUAUACCCAUUUAUAUAAAAGACUAGUUUUUAGAGAAGUUUUAGGUUCACAGCAAAAUGGGGCAGAAGGUACAGAGAUUUCCCACAUAUCCCCUACCCUCACAUAUACACAGCCUCCCCCAUCAUCAGCAUCUGCCUUCAGAGUGGUACAUUUGUUACAAUUGAUGAAACUACAUUGACGCUACGGGCCAAAGUCCAUGGUUUAAUUUCAGUCUUGAUGUGCAUUCUGUGGGUUGAGACAGAUGAAUAAUGACAUGCAUGCAUCAUGAUAGAAGGAUAAAGAGCAGUUUUACUGUCCCAAUAAUCCUGUGUUUUGCCUACACCCCUACACCCCUGCCUAUUUUCUUUUGUCUCCAUAAUGUAGCCUCUGAACCAUACAGUAUGCAGCCUUUUCAGAUGGACUUGUUUCACAUAGUAGUGUGGAUUUAAGUUUCUUCCAUGUCUUUUCGUGGCUUGCUAGCCUUUUUUUUUUUUUUUUUUUUUUUUUGCAUUGAAUAAUAUGCUAUUGUCUGGAUGUACCGUGAUUUAUUUGUCCAUUCACCUGCUGAAGGACAUUUUAGUUGCUUCCAAGUUUUGUUGAUUAUGAAUAAAGAUGCUAUAAACA